rnacentral:rRNA from 1 species
UGGGGAAUAUUGCACAAUGGGCGCAAGCCUGAUGCAGCCAUGCCGCGUGUAUGAAGAAGGCCUUCGGGUUGUAAAGUACUUUCAGUCGGGAGGAAGGUGUCAAGGUUAAUAACCUUGGCAAUUGACGUUACCGACAGAAGAAGCACCGUCUAACUCCGUGCCAGCAGCCGCGGUAAUACGGAGGGUGCAAGCGUUAAUCGGAAUUACUGGGCGUAAAGCGCACGCAGGCGGUUGAUUGAGUCAGAUGUGAAAUCCCCGGGCUUAACCCGGGAAUUGCAUCUGAUACUGGUCAGCUAGAGUCUUGUAGAGGGGGGUAGAAUUCCAUGUGUAGCGGUGAAAUGCGUAGAGAUGUGGAGGAAUACCGGUGGCGAAGGCGGCCCCCUGGACAAAGACUGACGCUCAGGUGCGAAAGCGUGGGGAGCAAACAGG